AAUUCUCAACCUUAUUAGCUUUUGUUGAUAAUGGAUUGGAUGUGGGGGUUUCUUUUGCUGGCUUCUUCACAGAUAUCAGCUCCCCUUAAAUGCAUUAGCUGGUGCCCUGCGUGGACCAUCUAUUGGUGUGAUAAUUAUCUACGCCGUGGAUGUCUGCAAUCAUAUGGGUUUUGCACUGCUUCUAACCGUCUGUUCAUUCGGACAAUACAUGACA
rnacentral:misc_RNA from 1 species